CGAAACAGAAAAUUAUUAUAUAUAUUAAUUAUACAUGUAAGUUUUAGUCUUAUUGCAACCCUGAAGCAUUUUAAUGUUGAAGUACAUAGUCACAGCAAAACCUAACAUAAGACCAUACCCUUUAAUUAGUAAGUACUGAUCACUUGUUUCUAUAUAUAUAAUACAAUACCAACACCAAGAGUACGAUAUAUAAUAUUUACCAAGCACGACGAAUUGGUUUUCCUUUGGGAUAAUAAUCCACUAAAACUUUCCCACCAUAGCGUUGAGCUGCUUCUUUGCUAUCGAUAACAGGUAGUGGAGCGGGUGAAGGAGCUGGGUUUACCACCUGAGGCUGAUGAGGCGGCCUCCCAAACCUUUUGGGUCUUCCCAAAUAUUCAUCCAAAGCAGGAAAUGCUUCCAACCCAAUUUUAGCAAGAUCAACUUGACGUGCCAUAUCUAAGCAAUUCCUCUCAAGACUUCACUCACAACAAG
rnacentral:misc_RNA from 1 species